rnacentral:piRNA from 1 species
UGCUCUGUGUUACAAUUAGGUAAACCACUUU